CCUCCCGACCGGAAGCACGUGGGAGAGGCCGAAGGCGGGCGGGGGCGGGAGGCGGCCCUAGCGCCAUUUUGUGGGCACGAAGCGGCAAGCUCGGCUGCUAUCGGCUUCCUCGCCGUCUCCGCUUCCUCUUCGUGCUUCCCAGCAGCGGCCUAGUGGAAAAUUAAGCAAAGAUGUCUGAAUAUAUCCGGGUAACCGAAGAUGAGAACGAUGAACCUAUUGAAAUACCGUCAGAAGAUGAUGGGACGGUAUUGUUGUCCACAGUUACAGCCCAGUUCCCAGGGGCAUGUGGCCUCCGAUACCGGAACCCAGUGUCUCAGUGUAUGAGGGGUGUCCGGCUGGUGGAAGGAAUUCUGCAUGCCCCGGAUGCUGGCUGGGGCAAUCUGGUAUAUGUUGUCAACUAUCCCAAAGAUAACAAAAGGAAAAUGGAUGAGACAGAUGCUUCUUCGGCAGUCAAAGUGAAAAGAGCAGUCCAGAAAACAUCCGACCUCAUCGUGCUGGGUCUCCCGUGGAAAACAACAGAGCAAGACCUGAAAGACUAUUUCAGUACUUUUGGAGAGGUUCUUAUGGUUCAGGUCAAGAAAGAUCUUAAAACUGGUCACUCAAAGGGGUUUGGCUUUGUUCGAUUUACUGAAUAUGAAACCCAAGUGAAAGUAAUGUCACAGCGACAUAUGAUAGAUGGGCGAUGGUGUGAUUGUAAACUUCCAAAUUCUAAGCAAAGCCCAGAUGAGCCUUUGAGAAGCAGAAAAGUGUUUGUUGGGCGUUGUACAGAAGACAUGACUGCUGAAGAGCUUCAACAGUUCUUCUGCCAGUAUGGAGAAGUGGUAGACGUCUUCAUUCCCAAGCCAUUUAGGGCUUUUGCCUUUGUUACCUUUGCAGAUGAUAAGGUUGCCCAGUCCCUUUGUGGAGAGGAUUUGAUCAUUAAAGGAAUCAGCGUGCAUAUAUCCAAUGCUGAACCUAAGCAUAAUAGCAAUAGACAGUUAGAAAGAAGUGGAAGAUUUGGUGGUAAUCCAGGUGGCUUUGGGAAUCAGGUUCAUCUCAUUUCAAAUGUUUAUGGAAGAAGCACUUCAUUGAAAGUAGUGCUGUAAAUACUCUGCCAUAGGAAUACUUCUGUCUACAUGCUUUCUCAUCCAAGAAUUCGUCAUCACGCUGCACAGGCUGCGUCUUUGACGCACUUGCACUAUUACUCAGCAGCAGUAACAUGGUAACAUUAAAAUGGUUUUCGGGGAUCUCCAAAGACUAAACUGGCAAGCCGUCCAGGAGUCCUGGGGUAAGUCACUUGUCGAUGGCAUGGUUUUGAUCCCUUGUUUGCACUUGUUAAAGUUACUGGUCAUGGAAGGCUUUCAAUGUCGAGAAGCCUUUUAACAUGUUGAUGGUAUGACGUAGCUGUAGAUAGUUAUUUGCCCUAAAUGAAGUUUUAGAAAUAAACUACUUGGCAAAGAUUUGGUUUUGAAAGUCUAUUUGGUCAUCAAAAUGCAUUCAUUCAUUAAAAGAGAAAUCUUUCAAUCACAGUUGAAUAAAAAGUUUUCUUGCCACCAACAGUUUAGUGUCUGGAGUCUUAAUGGAAAAACAUUUGUUUCAUGGCAAAGAUGCUAGAAAGUUAAACAGUGACUAAUGUGGGAAGACACAGUACAGCAUUUUCAGCCUUUAAAAAUGUGUCUCCAGGUGGGUGUGGUGGCAGAUGCCUUUAAUCCCAGAAAUUGAGGCAUGCACAUUUGAGUUUCAGGCAAUUGUGAGACCUUUCAAAAACUUGGAAGAACCUAGUACAACCAAAUGUGACAAUUUUAAGAUUUGAGGCAACAUCUUAGGAGAAAAUCUGUUGUUUGAUGGCAAAUUCCUGUUACGUGAGACUGGGUCUACUGUGUAGUUUUCUGCUCUUGUGACAUCUCUGAUCUGUUUGGCUCACCUGUGCCCAAGUUAAUUUGUGCUAGUUUAGAAAUGGUCCAGGUAUAGUGUGGCACACACUUAAUACUCAGCACUAGGGAAGCUAAGACAGAAUGGUAAAUUUCAGGUCAGCCUAGACUACACAGGCUAUCUCAAAGGUGGCAUUUGGGGGAAAGGGGGUGACAUCAGAAUUUAUCUUACCUAGCUAGCACGCCCAAAGCACUGUGAUUGUGAACACCGGAUAAAAAAUGGGGUGUGGUGUCACAUCCCUGUAAUCCCUAAGCAUUUGAUUGGCAGAAGCAGAAAAAGGUUGAGUUGUCUGCUACAUUACACAAUUUUCUAAGGCUUUUGAAAUGGAUUGCUAAAUCACCCUUUUGAGGGGUAAAAUACUAUUCCAUGUUUCCAUCUGAUAGCUUGGUAAAAGAAAUAUGGUAAAAUAUUGUAUUCUAGAAGUAGAAACAAAAAUUGUGUUGGUUUUAAUAGGAAAAUCAUACCCACUUUCAAUUUACCUUUUAAAAGAGAAAUGAUUGGAUGUUUUGGAACCAGUACUUGCCUUGGGGGGGCAGUGGCGAAGAUAAACAUUGGCGAGUGAUAUGUGCCUAUGGUUUGGUUCUUUUCUGUUUGGGGUGGGCCAUGGAUGCUAAUUGGCUUCUAUUAACUAAGAGCUUUCCCAGGUAUUUGUAAAAAUAAAUAAUUUACCAAUUGGAAGCAUGCAAGUUAAAAAUUACUUAUUAUGUUCUCAAUCCAGGGAAUAUAGUUUAUGACUUUGGUAUAGACCCCAUACUGGCCUGCCUCCCCACAAUUAAUGGAACCCCAGGAAACUAUUCCUCCCACAAACCAUCGCUGUGUUUCAUUAUCUAGAAAUACUAAUCCCCCUCCACUGUCACCUCUGCAGCUGUCCUUGCCACCAGUUUCUAAGCCAGCACAGAGCAUGUUAGCAGUUACUCUCCCUCCAGGGUAGAGUUUCUUUUCAUAUGCAGAAGUACAUUUUUGAUGGUCAGCAAUCGGUAGGUCCACAAACAUGAGGUUUCUAGCAAGAAACCCCCUCUGGGUUAACCCCCAGCCAGCCACAGUUCCAAUGCCGUCUGUUCUCAUCAAGGAUGCAGCUUCCUUUCUUGGCAGGCAAACAGGCAUGAUGCUUCUAUUGAUUGUGACUUUGUUCUUGAGUUUAAUCAGUGCUAUGUCAUUGUCAAAACCAGCACCAUGAUUGUAACCUUCAUGUAUGAAGACAGCCUCAGGCCAGGCUUGGGUGUACUGAGGUGAGAGCCUUUUGAGGAUACCCAUGCGAAUGUCCAGGGAGGAUGCUGCCUCUGUCAUCCCAUACACAGCAUGUGCAGCUGUUAGGACCCAGUUGUCAUGUAGAAGGGCACCUGCUGCUACAGUGUCACCCAGUAAUAAGACUUGCCAAGGAAAGUCACCAGGCUUCGCGUGCUGCCCUCCAAAUAUCCGGCCUCCUGUAGAGAGUGUGGAUAGCCCACAAACUGAGGAAAGAGCAAGAAAGUCUUUAGUGUCAACCAACUUACAUCCCAUGCAUGGGCAGGCAGGCAUCCUCUCUGGGCAAAUUAAAGACUUGGUAAGUCCUUGUAUAGUUGAUUUGAUCCUUCUCAAUACAAAGGUUUCACAGAAUAGGUUUUGCUAAAAGGAAACUAAAAUAGGGAAGCUAUAGACAGUACAGACAGGAAUUGUGCACACAGAAUCGAGACAAAAGGUCAGGUGUUCACUUGGCAUUGCUUUUUCCCUACGUUCUAGGAAUUCUGGGAAGUAAUUUACAAAAUUACUAUUGCCUUUCACUAUAAAACUACUAAAAAUUAUGUUGCAGCAAUAACCAGAACCAAGGUUCUAAAUUUGUAGUUUUGGUGUGGUUGAGUCUUCUAAACAUUAAGUUUACAGUGUCUACUGCAAACUAAUGCAACAUAUGUUUAAUAUGGUCUUGCACUUUGAUUAAAACUUAAGCAGCAUCUCCACCAAAUACAGGGUUGGAAAACUAAUUUCAGCCAGCUAACAUGGGGGUAAUGAGUAUAUUAUUACCUUUCCUUUUUUUUUUUUUUAAAGAGCAUUCUCAACUAUUGUUGGAGCCAACUCUGGUUAAAAAAAUUGAACACUAUUAAAAGGCAAAUUACAUUAAUGUUUUUAAAACUUAGAUGUUAUUGAAGACAAUUGCUUAGGGAAAUAAUGAAGUUAUUAGCUUUGGGUUUUAAUAGCAUUUUUAUAGAGAAGGAAAGUAACAAGAAUUUGUGUUUAUAAAUGUAUAAAUGGUUUCAGAUAAUUUAAGAAUAAUUUAAGAAAUCAUUUAACAUUUUUAUGUUUGCAUAGUCAUAAGGUCAAAAAUAAUCAAAUGAGUGAUGCAGCUAGCUAACAGCUAGCAAAGGUGUACUAUUGAAAGCACUGUUUAUUGGGGGUUAUGUUAGCCUAAACUGAGCCAGAUGCUGAGCUUCCUUGUCUGCCUGCCCCAGCAGACUCUGCCUGUUGUCCUCCAUCUAUUCUUAUCUGCUAUGAGUCUUUCAUAAAUGCGUCCAUUACCAGGCUCACAAACUGGGAGGGAUUUUUCUCCUUUGGCACUCGUCCAAAAUCCAUCAGCCUCACACACAUAUUUACCUGCAAAUCAUUGGAAAAGCAAAAAUGUUUUAACUGUGGUUGUUAUUUGCUUGAAUAACCCCUUGAAAAAUGUUGAUUCUUGAGCAUCCGUGGUGGGGAGAGGUGUGUGAAUAACCAUUUUACAUGAUUUCAUAAAUCGGUGUCUGCAUUACCGUGUUUGCUUGCAAAGUGGAAACCUUUUAGAUGUGUAACUUGAAUAUGUAUCAAGAUCUCAAGUGCUUAAUGAUAAGGUUUUGACUUGUUAAAUUAAACCAUUUGGAAUAUA